rnacentral:tRNA from 1 species
AAAGAAUUAGUUAAAUUAUAACAUUAAUAUGUCAUAUUAAAAUUAUUUAAAAGUAAAUAUUCUUUU